GGUAGCGUGGCCGGGCGGUUUGAGGCUCUGGGUUAAGGCUCCAGUGUCUGCAGGCCGGUGGGUUCGAAUCCCGCCGCUGCCA
rnacentral:tRNA from 1 species